UACGUAGGGGGCUAGCGUUGUCCGGAUUUAUGGGGCGUAAAGAGCGUGUAGGCGGCCAGGUAGGUCUGCUGUGAAAACUCGAGGCUCAACCUCGAGAUGUCGGCGGAAACCAUCUGGCUAGAGUCCGGAAGAGGAGAGUGGAAUUCCUGGUGUAGCGGUGAAAUGCGCAGAUAUCAGGAAGAACACCCGUGGCGAAGGCGGCUCUCUGGGACGGUACUGACGCUGAGACGCGAAAGCGUGGGGAGCGAACAGG
rnacentral:rRNA from 1 species